GUGAUGAGGUGCUUUUUGUAGAACGAGCCAACGAGUUACGGUAUGUAGCAAGGUUAAGUACUUAAGGUACGGAGCCGAAGGGAAACCGAGUCUGAAUAGGGCGACUAGUUGCAUGCCGUAGACCCGAAACCGGGUGACCUAUCCAUGGCCAGGUUGAAGCGAGGGUAAAACCUCGUGGAGGACCGAACCACGUUGCUGUUGAAAAAGCAUGGGAUGAGCUGUGGAUAGCGGAGAAAUUCCAAUCGAACCCGGAGAUAGCUGGUUCUCUCCGAAAUAGCUUUAGGGCUAGCGUCGAGUAUGAGUAGUGGAGGUAGAGCACUGAAUGGGCUAGGGGGCAUAGCGCUUACCGAACCUUAUCAAACUCCGAAUGCCACAUACUUUGAGCUCGGCAGUCAGACUACGAAUGAUAAGAUCCGUGGUCAAAAGGGAAACAGCCCAGAUCGUCAGCUAAGGUCCCAAAGUGUAAGUUAAGUGGGAAAGGAUGUGAGAUUUCUAAGACAACUAGGAUGUUGGCUUAGAAGCAGCCAUUCAUUAAAAGAGUGCGUAAUAGCUCACUAGUCGAGAGAUCUUGCGCCGAAAAUGUAACGGGGCUAAACUUACC
rnacentral:rRNA from 1 species